GAGUUUGAUCCUGGCUCAGGAUGAACGCUGGCGGCGUGCUUAACACAUGCAAGUCGAACGGGCUCAUAUUGAAACCUAGUGAUGUAUGAGUUAGUGGCGGACGGGUGAGUAACGCGUGGAGAACCUGCCGUAUACUGGGGGAUAACACUUAGAAAUAGGUGCUAAUACCGCAUAAGCGCACAGCUUCGCAUGAAGCAGUGUGAAAAACUCCGGUGGUAUACGAUGGAUCCGCGUCUGAUUAGCUGGUUGGCGGGGUAACAGCCCACCAAGGCGACGAUCAGUAGCCGGCCUGAGAGGGUGAACGGCCACAUUGGGACUGAGACACGGCCCAAACUCCUACGGGAGGCAGCAGUGGGGAAUUUUGCACAAUGGGGGAAACCCUGAUGCAGCGACGCCGCGUGAGUGAAGAAGUAUUUCGGUAUGUAAAGCUCUAUCAGCAGGGAAGAAAUACUGACCUUACGGUCAGCAGACGGUACCUGACUAAGAAGCCCCGGCUAACUACGUGCCAGCAGCCGCGGUAAUACGUAGGGGGCAAGCGUUAUCCGGAUUUACUGGGUGUAAAGGGAGCGUAGACGGCAGCGCAAGUCUGAAGUGAAAUCCCAUGGCUUAACCAUGGAACUGCUUUGGAAACUGUGCAGCUGGAGUGCAGGAGAGGUAAGCGGAAUUCCUAGUGUAGCGGUGAAAUGCGUAGAUAUUAGGAGGAACACCAGUGGCGAAGGCGGCUUACUGGACUGUAACUG
rnacentral:rRNA from 1 species